rnacentral:rRNA from 1 species
GACGAACGCUGGCGGCGUGCUUAACACAUGCAAGUCGAACGAUGAAGCCUAGCUUGCUAGGUGGAUUAGUGGCGAACGGGUGAGUAAUACGUGAGUAACCUACCUUUAACUCUGGGAUAAGCCUGGGAAACUGGGUCUAAUACCGGAUACGACCAAUCUCCGCAUGGGGUGUUGGUGGAAAGCGUUAUGUAGUGGUUAUAGAUGGGCUCACGGCCUAUCAGCUUGUUGGUGAGGUAACGGCUCACCAAGGCGACGACGGGUAGCCGGCCUGAGAGGGUGACCGGCCACACUGGGACUGAGGCACGGCCCAGACUCCUACGGGAGGCAGCAGUGGGGAAUAUUGCGCAAUGGGCGCAAGCCUGAUGCAGCGACGCCGCGUGAGGGAUGACGGCCUUCGGGUUGUAAACCUCUGUUAGCAGGGAAGAAGAGAAAUUGACGGUACCUGCAGAGAAAGCGCCGGCUAACUACGUGCCAGCAGCCGCGGUAAUACGUAGGGCGCGAGCGUUGUCCGGAAUUAUUGGGCGUAAAGAGCUUGUAGGCGGUUUGUCGCGUCUGCUGUGAAGGCCGGGGCUUAACCCCGUGUAUUGCAGUGGGUACGGGCAGACUAGAGUGCAGUAGGGGAGACUGGAACUCCUGGUGUAGCGGUGGAAUGCGCAGAUAUCAGGAAGAACACCGAUGGCGAAGGCAGGUCUCUGGGCUGUAACUGACGCUGAGAAGCGAAAGCAUGGGGAGCGAACAGGAUUAGAUACCCUGGUAGUCCAUGCCGUAAACGUUGGGCACUAGGUGUGGGGGACAUUCCACGUUUUCCGCGCCGUAGCUAACGCAUUAAGUGCCCCGCCUGGGGAGUACGGCCGCAAGGCUAAAACUCAAAGAAAUUGACGGGGGCCCGCACAAGCGGCGGAGCAUGCGGAUUAAUUCGAUGCAACGCGAAGAACCUUACCAAGGCUUGACAUAUACUGGACCGCAUCAGAGAUGGUGUUUCCCUUCGGGGCUGGUAUACAGGUGGUGCAUGGUUGUCGUCAGCUCGUGUCGUGAGAUGUUGGGUUAAGUCCCGCAACGAGCGCAACCCUCGUUCUAUGUUGCCAGCACGUUAUGGUGGGGACUCAUAGGAGACUGCCGGGGUCAACUCGGAGGAAGGUGGGGAUGACGUCAAAUCAUCAUGCCCCUUAUGUCUUGGGCUUCACGCAUGCUACAAUGGCCGGUACAGAGGGUUGCGAUACUGUGAGGUGGAGCUAAUCCCUAAAAGCCGGUCUCAGUUCGGAUUGGGGUCUGCAACUCGACCCCAUGAAGUCGGAGUCGCUAGUAAUCGCAGAUCAGCAACGCUGCGGUGAAUACGUUCCCGGGCCU